AUAUUCAGUAUCCAUGCUCAAUACUUGGCUAGCAAGUUAGCUCGGUUGCCACUGUGUAAUUUCUUGUUUUGUAUUUCUUUAUCUGCAGGUGUACACCAUCAACUUGGAGUCUCGUUACCUGAUGGUGUAAGGAGUCCCAGCCAUCGGGGUGAUGACAGAACUAAUCCAGCUCUCUGCGCUGUACAGGUUUGUGGAGGAGGGCUGGAUGAGUACCCUGCAGAGGAAUUCAGAGGUCUACCUCAUCAAGUUCCAGAAACUCACCAGUGCAAGAUCUGGACAGGUUCCAUCCAGUUGAUCAUGAUGAGUGAUACAUAACUAGAGCUGGGAGUUUUCUCAGUGACCAUGUAACCUGAAUGUUGUGUUCAGUAACGUGGGGUUCCAGCUCAGUUGAGAAUUGAAUGCUGUUGCUUUAAGAAUGUGCAUUUGUAACACUGACCAGGAAAAAACUCUAGGCCCUAGUUCAUAGUAACUAACUAUGAGGCCCUUGGUAUUACUAGGCUCUAGUAGUUAUACAGUACUGUCAUAUCUGCAAACAGAGUGUCUGAGUUAUACCAGUUAUACUUUGUCAUUCUGUUUCAGGGCAGCCAAACGGUAUAUGGAUGAGAGAGUUUCUUUGGAGGUUUACUACAUGUGCCCUGCCCCUGAGUAUGAGACAGUGGAGGACACCAGAUUAAAGCUGCAAGACAGGAGACGAUAUGUGAAUAGUACGGCUCAAAAUAAAGCAAAAGAACAGGACCAGGGGGAUGAAGAGAGCAAAAAGCCCAUGUCUUCAGAUACAGUUGCUACCACAGCCAGGAUUUCCUUAGGUGAUGAUCAGAGAUCCAGUGAUACCGGCAAUCAGGAAGAGACUUUGACUCUUGAGCCAAUUGUAAGCUGGGGAUAAUUAGGUGACCAUGAUCGUACAAGAGCCAGGUUGGGAAUUUAGCCAGGACACCAGGGUUAACACCCCUACUCUUACGAUAAGUGCCAUGGGAUUUUUUUUUGUGACCACAGAGAGUCAGGACACCCGUUCAACAUCCCCCUACACAGAGCAAUGUCCCCAAUCAUUGCCCUGGGGCAUUGGGAUAUUUUUUUUAGACCAGAGGGAAGAGUGCCUCCUAAUGGCCCUCCAACACCACUUCCAGCAGCAUCUGGUCUCCCAUCCAGGGACUGACCAGGACCAACCCUGCUUAGCUUCAGAAGCAAGUCAGUAGUGGGAUGCAGGGUGGUAUGCUGCUGGCCUUGUGCCCCAUUUUAUGAUCGGUCUUAUAGUUAUCAGGCAAACCAAUGCCGGACUAUUCCAACAGAGGAUAAAAUGGGGUCAUUGCAUAAUUCCAUAAUAAACCGUAGAAGGCACCCAAUGUAAGUGGCACUCCCUCCUCUUCUAGGGGAAACAGAGGGAUGGUGAAAAGACUGAGUAAGAAUCCACCCCCUGCAGUACCCUCCAGAUUCAUACCAAGGACCACACAUUUGGAGAACAGAAAACGGAAAAUGGUAGAAACGAGUAAAGACUUUUUGGCAUUGUUGACAAAAAUGAAACCCUCAUUAGACCAAACUACCAGAGUAGCCUAAGAUGGAUAUGGCGGAUGAGUCAUUGAACACAACAGCCAACAUGGUCAGAAAUACACUGAAAAAGGUAGCAUCAAUUCCUGAAGUCAAGCCAACAGAGAAGACAAAGCCAGGAAAGCCUCGGAAGAGAAUCUAACAGGGAAAAGGAAAGAGGGAUACCCAGUCAGUUGUCCAACUGAAUGUAUUCAACUGAAAUGUGUCUUCCGCAUUUAACCCAACCCCUCUGAAUCAAAGAGGUGCGGGGGGCUGCCUUAAUCGACAUCCACGUCUUCUUCGCCUGGGGAACAGUGGGUUAACUGCCUUGCUCAGGGGCAGAACGACAGAACAGACUCCAUGUUCUGAAACGGACAGCAUCACACAGAAGAUAAUGCAUACAUUUUAUCAAGUUCCUAGACUUUACACCAAUUAGACGGUACUUCAUCUUUUCUCAACAUGUUUAAUUUUUAUAUUUCCCAUCAGAGUAUAAGAAGUUUUUUUAUAUAUAUUUUUAUUUGUUUAUAUAUAUUUGCAGUUUCAUGAAAAUGAAUAAAGUAGUGUUGUCCUUAA